AGCUCAAACCUCCACUGGCUGCCCCAAAUUUAGGCCCUGGGCAAUGCAGAGACACUUAACCCUGGUGUGGAUGCUGCCUCUCCCUGUGUCCUCUGGUGGGGAGGGGACGAAGGUCCUUAGGACAGCAGGGACUGGAUGACCAGAGGCCAGGGAAGUCAGGAGGAAGAUUCCAGCAUCCAGGAUGUGGGCUACUGGCAUCUAGUGGGUAGAGGCCAGGGAUGCUGCUCAUCAUCCGGUAAACACCCCAGAGCAAAGAACGAUCUGCCGGAACGUCAGUAGUGCGAAGCCUGAGCUGAACACGCUGCAGAUCUUCUCAGUCGCACUAGAGAAGUAACGACCACCAUUCCUGGGCUGGCAGGCACUGUGCUGGGUGUUUACACACCACUGAAGACACCUGAAAACCUAUGAGGUGCCAGCUCCAGGCCCAGAUAAGCAAUAAAACCAACCUCAGGACCAGCUGCAUUGAAUGACCCCCUGCCCUGGUGCCAGCCAAUCAAUCAGUGGAGACCAGAACCCUGAAAGGACACACCUGGAACACUGCAGAACAGUCUAUUUAGAUCUUCCCCUGGGCCCUCCCCUAAAGUCUCCACUCACAACACCCUUAGGGUGAGGACCCAGCUGCUCUCCCUCCUGGGAGCACGCCUGUGCCUGUGCCUGUGCCUUUCUCUCU